rnacentral:rRNA from 1 species
UACGUAGGGUGCAAGCGUUGUCCGGAAUUAUUGGGCGUAAAGAGCUCGUAGGCGGUCUGUCGCGUCGGCUGUGAAAACCUGGGGCUUAACUCCGGGCUUGCAGCCGAUACGGGCAGACUAGAGUUCGGCAGGGGAGACUGGAAUUCCUGGUGUAGCGGUGAAAUGCGCAGAUAUCAGGAGGAACACCGGUGGCGAAGGCGGGUCUCUGGGCCGAAACUGACGCUGAGGAGCGAAAGCGUGGGGAGCGAACGGG